rnacentral:SRP_RNA from 1 species
GCUUGGAGUUGUGACCUUCUCCUGUAAUCCAACUACUUGGAGGCUUGGUUGGUUGGCCGGUUUGAGGAUGGGAGUCCUGGUAGUCAGUCUUCUAUGGUGAUCAUGUGUCCGCGCUAAGCUUGACAUCAAUAUGGUGCUGAGGCAGGAGCUCAUCAGUCCCAGGUUGUCUAAGGAGGGCUGCUUUCGUCCAGCGUUGAAAUGCAGCAGGAAAAAGACACCCCCCCCCCCCGUCUUUAUAGGCACAGGCGUAGCUGUGUGGUAAGAAGCUUGCUUCCCAACCGCAUGGUUACAGGUUCAGUCCCACU